CGAUAUGCAAGCGCCUUACUCCUCCCAGAGGCGUUUGCGGGAGCAGCAACACUCCUCCUCCCAGUUGCUGUUCGGUUAUUGCUGAAAGCCUGCCGCAACUCCUCCCGCGGCAGGCUUUUUCG
rnacentral:sRNA from 1 species